CAUACUCAGAACAGCUGCUUCCUUUGGGUUUCUGGUGGCAGGGAUAUUAUAAAGGUACUAUGUAAAAAGGAUAUAGAAUGACCAGUGAGGAUUAAAAAGGGCAAAGAGAGGAAAACAAUCCUCUGGAGGAAUUCUUGGGUGAGUAGGCAAAUGGAAACAAUUAAAUGUGGCAGGAGAGAAUGAAGAAGAUAAAAUUUGGAUUGAAGGUGGAAAAAAUAAAAGCAGUGGAAGGGAAGAGAUCACUGAGAAUCCAAACAGGGCCAGGGAUAACUGGUACAUGCUAACCUUCAAUUCAAAGAAAGCUAAGAUGAUCACACAUAAAAAUUAAAGCCAAAUUUACACUCUUCUGCUCUGCCAGAAGUCUUCCUCACCAGCUGCAUCCCUCUCUUUCUGUAUACACAAUAGUACCUCUGAACAGUAGUGAACAUGAAUUGUCUUCGUGGCACAGCUAAGCCUGAAUGAUGUUAACAUUUCACAGAGACACAACUACAAACAUUCUCCAAAACUAUCUGCAACAGCUCAUUACCCAAAACUACCUGCAAGGACUCAUAAAGCAAAAUAAGUCAGACUCACCAACUUAAAUGGAUUAAUAUUGUUUCAUUUCCAAUGUCCCUGUCGAUGCUCUGUGAGAUUCUAUGUUUCUUGGAUUCUUUAACAUAAGUUAGCACAUAUGACUUCUGCUGGAAUGAAAAUGACAUGCCUGGAAUUUCUUUUGUUUGCCUCUUCCAGGUAAACCAACAUGCAGCUAAAGUAGUUAAGAGGGAGUUAAAUCACUGUAAGAGAGAGUGGAGAUAUGAAGUCCUUGUUGAGGUGGUGAAAUCCUGUAUCAGGAUGUGACUGAUGAAGUGUCUGCUGAUACCAAACAGGCCUUGCGAUCUCAACUUACGACUCUGGGUUUGGGGAAAAGAAUGAAAUGCGUUGGGAAGCCAAUGUAAGUCUGAGGCUGUUCUUGGUAUUUACAGAAAGACUACAGAAAAAGACAUCAGAAUAAUGGCAAGGAUUUAAACAGCUCUCUGAUGGCACUGUGAGGAAAGGAUAGCAGAGGCAGGAAAACUUCAAUCCUCAAUAUCCCAGAAGAAGAACAAAGAGGGCUUCGACUAUAGCAUUUGGCAGCUACGGAAAAGUAAAGGUUUAGUGGACCAAUUCUUCACGUUCUUACAUAGCACCUUAAUGUUACAUGAAAAGGAGCAAAAGAAACAAGGGGUGUUGACUAUCAAAUAAAGCUGAAGAGCCAAGAAACAUUUAUAACUGCAGUAGUUUUACUUGAAGAUACAUAGUUUUCUAUAAGAUGUUGCUUUGUGAAAUAUUUUCAGGU